GACAUCCCCUAGCGGCGGCGACCAGGAAAAUCGUGAGGAACACAGAUCCAGCUUGUAGAUCCGGCACAGUUGAUUCCAUUAAUCUAGCUGUUAUCGCAUUGAGGCGUUUCUGUCCCUUCUAAAGUUCUGGUGGCGGCGGGCUUUGCUUCUCAUACUUGUCGUCGACAAAUAUGCAUAUUACCGGUUUGUAAUAUUGUUUUUUCCCUUGCGUCAGAACUCAUGGAUAUGAUUUUAUCUAUUCCGUUCUAGGCUAUAGUUCUACCUGGAGAAGAUCACUUGGCAAAUAUACUGUUUUUAGAUUAGAGUAUCACCUGAUACCUAGAUUCGUGAAUGUAACAUUACUUUCAGACAGAUAAAUCUUAUUCGUAAAUGUAACAUUACUUCUCAGACAGAUAAAUAUUUCAAGGUGUUUGAUGCUUCGAGAGAA